rnacentral:rRNA from 1 species
GAUGAACGCUAGCGGCAGGCCUAACACAUGCCAGUCGAGGGAGAAGCCCUUUCGGGGGCCGAAACCGGCGCACGGGUGCGUAACGCGUAUGCAACCUACCUUUCACAGGGGGAUAGCCCGAAGAAAUUUGGAUUAAUACCCCAUAAUAUUAUUGGAUGGCAUCAUUUGAUAAUUAAAACUGCGGUGGUGAAAGAUGGGCAUGCGUCCUAUUAGCUAGUUGGAGUGGUAACGGCACCCCAAGGCUACGAUAGGUAGGGGUCCUGAGAGGGAGAUCCCCCACACUGGUACUGAGACAGGGACCAGACUCCUCCGGGAGGCAGCAGUGAGGAAUAUUGGUCAAUGGUCGGAAGACUGAACCAGCCAUGCCGCGUGCAGGAAGAACGCCUUAUGGGUUGUAAACUGCUUUUAUAUGGGAAGAAUAAGGCGUACGUGUACGCUGAUGACGGUACCAUAUGAAUAAGCAUCGGCUAACUCCGUG